rnacentral:lncRNA from 1 species
AUCGAUGCAUGGGUUCAACGACGUUUUCGGGAUACUCGUAAUUACGGAAUUUACCGAAGUAACCGGAUGUAUACAUAAAUGUCAAGGAUAUGACAUUUAACGACCAUGCCAAUAUUUGACAGUUGACAAUUUAUAGUUUUUAGGUUUUCUAUGUUAAUAAACUAUCAACAUUUACAAAUAUUUCACUAAUCAAUAUGGACAUGCACGAUUUUGAUGAUGAAGAAUUUGAAAAAAUUAUCGGAGAAGAAAUUGAAGAGUUUUAUUGCUUUUGUAAAUCUGAAACAUGUUCAAUAGAAAAGAUGAUUCCGUGUGAAGGACCCGACUGCAAAACAAAAAUUUUUCCACCACAGUUCCGCCAUAUCAGUUUACUGAAAAAAAAGUAAUGCUAUUCUUCAUUUGAUUCAGUUGUAGUAAAAAAUUAACCAUCCCCCUUUUGCGCUACCAAUGUGAAACAAAAUCAUUACUGACAACUAACUGAUUAAUUUCAAACAGAUGCCAUAUGAUCCCCCCCCCCCCCAAAAAAAAAAACAGAAAAAAAAACAUAAUCGUUUGCAUGGACAUCAUUUUCAAUCGCAAAUAUCUAUUUAUUCUUUAUAUUCGCUUAUUUGUUUCUCUGUUAUUUGUUUUGUGCAUAAUCAGGCCAAUAGAAUUUUUUUCAUAUAUGAAAUGGAUUUGCUAAAAUAUGUUUAAGGCUGUAAGGUGACCUAUAGUUGAAAACUUCUGUUUCAUUUGAUCUCUGGUGGAGAGUAGUCUUAUUGGCAAUCAUAUCUUCUUAUUUUUAUAUUGAAUUAUAAUAAAUGUCUUGUGUAAGGAAACAAAUAGUUGUAAUCUGCAUGUAUAAUUGAGGUUUACUGCUAACAAAUCACUUGUUGAAUUGUUUACUGAAAGUCCGGUGUCAAAUGUUUCAUUCAUUUCAACAAAAAGAAAAUUUUAUAAAUUUCCCAAAACAAAUCCGUCAGACGCCAGAGCAAUCUCGGACCAGGUUGAAUUUAAAAAAAAAGAAGGUGUACAUGUAAUCUGUGUUUUAACUUGAUACAUACUAUAUGGAGAGACAAUCACGGGCGUAUAAUUAUCCACCUCUUAGUGCUUAAAACAAUUUCUAUAAAUAUGUUAAGUUACAUUUUACGAUCGAGAAAACUAUUAAUAUUUGUGUUACACUCGAUUAAAAUUUACAAUCUUUAACUUAAAAUUUGAGUUAUCAGGCGCCAUCAGGCACACUACACGGACAUCAAAUUAUUUUCUGCAAACACUCUACUUCAGAGUCAUGUAAUCUGCAUAAUCCGAUAUUUCCCGAUUUCCUAGUUCUAGUGAUAAAAACAUAUUAGACAAAACUAAAAAUAAUCUUACUUCUUUCCAAAUACAGUUAUUUUUCUUUUGUCAUUCUGUUAAAUAUGGACCGAUUUUUAAGAUUGUUUCAGCUGUAGUCUUUAAUUAUUGAAUAGAAACAGGUGUCGUUAUUCAUGUAGCGAUUCGCAAUUAGCCACGGGAGUUUCCGUGUUUAUUUACAUUGGUAGGUAGAUUAGACCCUCGAUAACAGAUCACGUGAUAAGAUCAGUUUCUGUAAACUACACACGCGAGGGCGGCAUCGCAGAUACCCCACAAAGGAGUUAUCACAUACUUGACAUACUGAGUCGGAACCUUUUAUUUUCCUAAAGAAAUCAGUGGGGUGCGAAUGUGCUAAUUUUUCGUUGGAGUUCCUGUCAAUAUAAUACUUCCAUGUUGAGACCAAGAA